rnacentral:lncRNA from 1 species
GGCGCUUACGUUCUUCCUGCAACAUGAGAAGGGAGGGAGGGACUCUCAGCAGGGAUGCAGUCUGGGACACGUAGUUGCAAACCUAGCGACUUUGUUGUUAGAUUCAAUGACUUUUCAGACCCCCUAACGACUUUUUUUUAGAAAGAAAGGGACUUUUAUCGACUUCUUCUGGAGUUUAGAGACUCUGACAUGAAGCAGGCUUUCCUUACUGAGGAGUUAGCAACGCUGCUAAGGGUGCAGAGCCACACAUGCGCUCAGAGCUCUGCAUGGGAGACUGAAGCUGACAGAGCUGCAGCAGUUAGCAGGUUUCACCCUCAGAGACCACCAGGGGUUCAUGUUGAGGCAUUUUCAGUUUUUUUUUUUUGUGCCAUAGACACUGUCAGCACAAUCUGCAGUUACACUAACAAAAAUGCUGCAAAAAACAAAGAAUUAUGGAAAAAUUACACAUGGACUGACAUAGAGGAGGAUCUACACAAGUUUUUUACAUCAUGUUUUACAUCAUGCAUCAUUUACAUCAUGUUUUUUUGUAGUGGCAUGAAUAAAAAGUGACAUUUGUGAGACUAUACAGUGUUUUGUAAAUAAUUUUACAAAGAACGCCUGGGCCAUUGCCUGCAUUUUGAUGUAAAUAGAGGUAAAUUACUAUGUUCUUUGUUAAAAAUUUGCAUAUGUUUUGAAGUUUACAAUUUUUAUUUGAAGUUUAAGUUUUAAAAACAGUUCAUCACACAUAUUUGUGGUUUAAUUUCACAUUAAUUUCCAUAUUGUAUAAAUGACUGGAAAAAACUUGAGCCCCUGCCCCUGUAUAAUCAUGUGCACGUCCCUGUUCUAGCUCCAAGGUGAAUCUUCACUGCUCAUGUUCUCCUCAGAAAUAGUCACCUCACUCCCCUCAGGUUACUGUACACAUGCACCAACUAUCUGCUUCAGGUUUGAAAUGGAGCUUCAUGGUUGUCUUUUGGAGAAAUGAACAGUCAAGUUGUGUUUGAAAUUUGAUUUUUUUCAGGGGCAAAAGGAAGCCUCUGCAUUCUUGUCAAAUAUGUAAACAGCAUGUUUUUGCAGGUGCUAAAAAACAGACUCUGAGUGUGUGUGUGUGUCUGUGUGUGUGUGUGUCUGUGUGUGUGUGUAUGUUGGCGUGUGUGUAUAUGUGUGUGUAUCCUGCAGUACUCUGUACUCCUGCAGUGGCCAAAAAAACCUUUUAAGAAUGUGGAUUUUUGGGUCAUCUUUGGCGCCCCCUAGAACUGCAGUACUCUGUACUCCUGCAGUGGCCAAAAUGACUUUUAAGAAUGUGGAUUUUUGGGUCAUCUUUGGCGCCCCCUAGAACGUAAACCGUGGGGUGCAGCGUCAUGAUUUUUACAACUUUGAAUGGGCAUGGGGUGUAGAUUGCCCUGAGCAAAUUUGGUAUCGGUGGGACGAAAGCCUUAGGAGGAGAUAGCCACAUUCCAAUGUGUGCGAAUCGGCAAAAAAUGCAAAAUAGCCCUUUAACCGUACAUUAUAAAGAUACGCGCUCUUUGACUUUUUCGUAGAUCUAAUUGAGAUACACAUGAUUGUCAAUUUUUGUGUCAAUAUGACAAAGCGUUCAGGUGUGACACUCAACAAUGUGUAUUUUCAUGUAAGGGGACAAGAAAAAAUGGACUUUUUUCUCCUACCAUGGGGGGGCGCUCUUUUGGGGAGUAAAAAUUCCUUCACAAAUGUGUUGAUGGCUGGACAUUGCAUCAUCCUAGAAAACUUGGAGGCCAGUGAGGACAAAAAUAAAAAGUUAUAAAACAUUUAAGAAUGUGGAUUUUUGGGUUAUUUUUGGCGCCCCCUAGAACCUAAACCAUGGGGUGCAGCGUCAUGAUUUGAAUAACUUUUAAUGGCCAUGGGGUGUAGAUUGGCCUGAGCAAAUGUGGUGCCGGUGGAACGAAAGCCUUCGGAGGAGUUAGCGAAAUUCCAAUGUGUGCGUAUCGGCAAAAAAUGCGGAAUAACCCUUUAACUGUACAUUUGACAGAUACGCGCGCAUGGACUUUUUUGUAGAUCUUAUUGAGUUACAUGUGUGUGUCAAUUUUUGUGUCAUUUUGACAAAGCGUAUAGGCGUGACACUCAAGAAUGUGUAUUUUCACCUUAGGGGACAAGAAAAAAUGGACUUUUUUCUCCUGCCAUGGGGGGGCGCUCUUUUGGGGAGUAAAAAUUCCUUCACAAAUGUGUUGAUGGCUGGACAUUGCAUCAUCCUAGAAAACUUGGAGGCCAGUAAGGACAAAAAUAAAAAGUUAUAAGACUUUUAAAUAUGUGGAUUUUAGUGUUAUCUUUGGCGCCCCCUAGAACCUAAACCUUGGGGUGCAGCGUCAUGAUUUUGAUAACUUUUAAUGGCCACGGGGUGUAGAUUGGCCUGAGCAAAUGUGGUGCCGGUGGAACGAAAGCCUUCGGAGGAGUUAGCGAAAUUCCAAUGUGUGCGGAUCGGCAAAAAAUGCGAAAUAACCCUUUGACCGUACAUUUGACAGAUACGGCCGCACUGACUUUUUUGUAGAUCUUAUUGAGAUACAUAUGUGUGUCAAUUUUUGUGUCAAUAUGACAAAGCGUACAGGCGUGACAGUCAAUAGUGUGAAUUUCCACCUUAGGGGGCGCUAUGGAGCCAUUUUGCAUUUUAUUGUUUGGGCGACUUCAGAAUAUCGAAUUUUUCACCAGGCCCGGUCGUCCUGCCAAAUUUCAUGAGUUUUCGCCAGUGGGAAGUGGGCCAUUUUCCAGUUCAAAGGGGAGGAAAAAGAAGAAACUAGGGCCCCGUUGGGGCACUGGCGGGCCCGAGCCGUGUCGCGCCCCCCCCCCCAACGCGCUGCCUCCCCGUCCCAUUCGCAUCCUCUGGCCAUCGACCUCUCUGGUAACGCCCAUCACUGCAAAGACCCUUUUCCUUCAUCGGCGUUUGCUGUUCUUCCUGCCAGUGCGUGUUGCUUUCACUUACACUUGCCACAGCCAGCCUCGUGAGUGCCUAGCCUAUUGGAUAUCACUGUCAUCUACACAGGACAGUCCUUACCUUUCUAUUAAUACUUUGUUUUUUAAUUUCACAUUAAUUUCCAUAUUGUAUAAAGGACUGGAAAAGACUUGAGCCCCUGCCCCUGUAUAAUCAUGUGCACGUCCCUGUUCUGGCUCUAAGGUGAAUCUUCACUGCUCAUGUUCUCCUCAGAAGCAGUCACCUCACUCCCCUCAGGUUACUGUACACACGCAGCAACUGCAUGCUUCAGGUUUAGAUAGCGCUUCAUGGUUGUCUUUUGGAGAAAUGAGCAGUCAAGUUGUGUUUGAAAUUUGAUUUUUUUCAGGGGCAAAAGGAGCCUCUGCAUUCUUGUCAAAUAUGUAAAUAGCAUGUUUUUGCAGGUGCUAAAAACCAGACUCUGAGUGUGUGUGUGUGUGUGUGUGUGUGUGUGUGUGCGUGUGUGUGUGUCUGUGUGUGCGUUCAAGUCACAUGACAUAUUUAACCGGAUGUAGCUGCAAGACGGAGCCUCGUUGACUCUCCGUUUCAACUUAUCUCAAAAGUGAGGACCUCAACCUAUAUACCAGUUUUUAAAUUGUGUUGAUAGGCCAAAUAAAACCAGAGUUAUGAUAAAUUAUGUCCGCGAUACUUUUUUUCUGCUUAUUUUGAUCACGUUCGGCGCUCGAUCGCGCUGUAUGAGACAGGAAAACAUAGCAUGCAGACAUUAGCGACAGGUCUUACAGGCGGAAAAGGCUUGCCAAAAGAAAAAAAAAACACACCACAACAUCUCUCCUAUUGGUGGAAAACUUCACCACAACAACCAAUCCAAAAUUAUAUGGUGACUGAUUGACAAGGGGCGGGCGCUUAUGUUCUUCCUGCAAUAUGAGAAGGGAGGGAGGGACUCUCAGCAGGGAUGCAGUCUGGGACACGUAGUUGCAAACCUAGCGACUUUGUUGUUAGAUUCAAUGACUUUUCAGACCCCCUAACGACUUUUUUAGAAAGAAAGUGACUUUUAUCGACUUCUUCUGGAGUUUAGAGACUCUGACAUGAAGCAGGCUUUCCUUACUGAGGAGUUAGCAACGCUGCUAAGGGUGCAGAGCCACACAUGCGCUCCGAGCUCUGCAUGGGAGACUGAAGCUGACAGAGCUGCAGCAGUUAGCAGGUUUCACCCUCAGAGACCACCAGGGGUUCAUGUUGAGGCAUUUUCAGUUUUUUUUUUUUUUUUUGCCAUAGACACUGUCAGCACAAUCUGUAGUUACACUCACAAAAAUGCUGCAAAAAACAAAGAAUUAUGGAAAAAUUACACAUGGACUGACAUAGAGGAGGAUCUACACAAGUUUUUUACAUCAUGUUUUACAUCAUGCAUCAUUUACAUCAUGUUUUUUUGUAGUGGCAUAAAUAAAAAGUGACAUUUGUGAGACUAUACAGUGUUUUGUAAAUAAUUUUACAAAGAACGCCUGGGCCAUUGCCUGCAUUUUGAUGUAAAUAGAGGUAAAUUACUAUGUUCUUUGUUAAAAAUUUGCAUAUGUUUUGAAGUUUACAAUUUUUAUUUGAAGUUUAAGUUUUAAAAACAGUUCAUCACACAUAUUUGUGGUUUAAUUUCACAUUAAUUUCCACAUUGUAUAAAUGACUGGAAAAAACUUGAGCCCCUGCCCCUGUAUAAUCAUGUGCACGUCCCUGUUCUAGCUCCAAGGUGAAUCUUCACUGCUCAUGUUCUCCUCAGAAAUAGUCACCUCACUCCCCUCAGGUUACUGUACACAUGCACCAACUAUCUGCUUCAGGUUUGAAAUGGAGCUUCAUGGUUGUCUUUUGGAGAAAUGAACAGUCAAGUUGUGUUUGAAAUUUGAUUUUUUUCAGGGGCAAUAGGAAGCCUCUGCAUUCUUGUCAAAUAUGUAAACAGCAUGUUUUUGCAGGUGCUAAAAAACAGACUCUGAGUGUGUGUGUGUGUCUGUGUGUGUGUGUGUGUGUGUGUGUGUAUGUUGGCGUGUGUGUAUAUGUGUGUGUAUCCUGCAGUACUCUGUACUCCUGCAGUGGCCAAAAAGACUUUUAAGAAUGUGGAUUUUUGGGUCAUCUUUGGCGCCCCCUAGAACUGCAGUACUCUGUACUCCUGCAGUGGCCAAAAUGACUUUUAAGAAUGUGGAUUUUUGGGUCAUCUUUGGCGCCCCCUAGAACGUAAACCGUGGGGUGCAUCGCCAUGAUUUUUACAACUUUGAAUGGGCAUGGGGUGUAGAUUGCCCUGAGCAAAUUUGGUAUCGGUGGGACGAAAGCCUUAGGAGGAGAUAGCCACAUUCCAAUGUGUGCGAAUCGGCAAAAAAUGCAAAAUAGCCCUUUCACCGUACAUUAUACAGAUACGCGCUCUUUGACUUUUUCGUAGAUCUAAUUGAGAUACACAUGAUUGUCAAUUUUUGUGUCAAUAUGACAAAGCGUUCAGGCGUGACACUCAACAAUGUGUAUUUUCAUGUAAGGGGACAAGAAAAAAUUGACUUUUUUCUCCUACCAUGGGGGGGCGCUCUUUUGGGGAGUAAAAAUUCCUUCACAAAUGUGUUGAUGGCUGGACAUUGCAUCAUCCUAGAAAACUUGGAGGCCAGUGAGGACAAAAAUAAAAAGUUAUAAGACUUUUAAAUAUGUGGAUUUUAGGGUUAUCUUUGGCGCCCCCUAGAACCUAAACCGUGGGGUGCAGCAUCAUGAUUUGAAUAACUUUUAAUGGCCAUGGGGUGUAGAUUGGCCUGAGCAAAUGUGGUGCCGGUGGAACGAAAGCCUUAGGAGGAGUUAGCCACAUUCCAAUGUGUGCGGAUCGGCAAAAAAUGCGGAAUAACCCUUUAACCGUACAUUUGACAGAUACGCGCGCAUUGACUUUUUCGUAGAUCUUAUUGAGUUACAUGUGUGUGUCAAUUUUUGUGUCAUUUUGACAAAGCGUAUAGGCGUGACACUCAACAAUGUGUAUUUUCACCUUAGGGGACAAGAAAAAAUGGACUUUUUUCUCCUGCCAUGGGGGGGCGCUCUUUUGGGGAGUAAAAAUUCCUUCACAAAUGUGUUGAUGGCUGGACAUUGCAUCAUCCUAGAAAACUUGGAGGCCAGUGAGGGCAAAAAUAAAAAGUUAUAAGACUUUUAAAAAUGUGGAUUUUAGGGUUAUCUUUGGCGCCCCCUAGAACGUAAACCGUGGGGUGCAGCGUCAUGAUUUGAAUAACUUUUAAUGGCCAUGGGGUGUAGAUUGGCCUGAGCAAAUGUGGUGCCGGUGGAACGAAAGCCUUCGGAGGAGUUAGCGAAAUUCCAAUGUGUGCGGAUCGGCAAAAAAUGCGAAAUAACCCUUUAACCGUACAUUAGACAGAUACGCGCGCAUGGACUUUUUUGUAGAUCUUAUUGAGAUACAUGUGUGUGUCAAUUUUUGUGUCAUUUUGACAAAGCGUACAGGCGUGACAGUCAAUAGUGUGAAUUUUCACCUUAGGAGACAAGAAAAAAUGGACUUUUUUCUCCUGCCAUGGGGGGGCGCUCUUUUGGGGAGUAAAAAUUCCUUCACAAAUGUGUUGAUGGCUGGACAUUGCAUCAUCCUAGAAAACUUGGAGGCCAGUGAGGGCAAAAAUAAAAAGUUAUAAGACUUUUAAAUAUGUGGAUUUUAGGGUUAUCUUUGGCGCCCCCUAGAACCUAAACCGUGGGGUGCAGCGUCAUGAUUUGAAUAACUUUUAAUGGCCAUGGGGUGUAGAUUGGCCUGAGCAAAUGUGGUGCCGGUGGAACGAAAGCCUUCGGAGGAGUUAGCGAAAUUCCAAUGUGUGCGGAUCGGCAAAAAAUGCGAAAUAACCCUUUAACCGUACAUUUGACAGAUACGCCCGCACUGACUUUUUUGUAGAUCUUAUUGAGAUACAUGUGUGUGUCAAUUUUUGUGUCAUUUUGACAAAGCGUACAGGCGUGACAGUCAAUAGUGUGAAUUUUCACCUUAGGGGGCGCUAUGGAGCCAUUUUGCAUUUUCUUGUUUGGGCGACUUCGGAAUAUCAAAUUUUUCACCAGGCCCGGUCGUCCUGCCAAAUUUCAUGAGUUUUCGCCAGUGGGAAGUGGGCCAUUUUCCAGUUUAAAGGGGAGGAAAAAUAAUAACUAGGACCCCGUUGGGGCACUGGCGGGCCCGAGCCGUGUCGCGUCCCUCCCCCCCCCCCCAACGUGCUGCCUUCCCGUCCCAUUUGUGUCCUCUGGCCAUCGCCCUCUCUGGUAACGCCCAUCACUGCAAAGACCCUUUUCCUUCAUCGGCGUUUGCUGUUCUUCCUGCCAGUGCGUGUUGCUUUCACUUACACUUGCCACAGCCAGCCUCGUGAGUGCCUAGCCUAUUGGAUAUCACUGUCACCUACACAGGACAGUCAUUACCUUUCUAUUAAUACUUUGUGUUUUAAUUUCACAUUAAUUUCCAUAUUGUAUAAACGACUGGAAAAAACUUGAGCCCCUGCCCCUGUAUAAUCAUGUGCAUGUCUCUGUUCUAGCUCCAAGGUGAAUCUUCACUGCUCAUGUUCUCCUCAGAAGCACUCACCUCACUCCCCUCAGGUUACUGUACACAUGCACCAACUGCCUGCUUCAGGUUUGGAUGGAGCUUCAUGGUUGUCUUUUGGAGAAAUGACCAGUCAAGUUGUGUUUGAAAUUUGAUUUUUUUCAGGGGCAAAAGGAGCCUCUGCAUUCUUGUCAAAUAUGUAAAUAGCAUGUUUUUGCAGGUGCUAAAAACCAGACUCUGAGUGUGUGUGUGUGUGUGUGUGGGUGUGUGUGUGUCUGUGUGUGCGUUCAAGUCACAUGACAUAUUUAACCGGAUGUAGCUGCAAGACGGAGCCUCGUUGACUCUCCGUUUCAACUUAUCUCAAAAGUGAGGACCUCAACCUAUAUACCAGUUUUUAAAUUGUGUUGAUAGGCCAAAUAAAACCAGAGUUAUGAUAAAUUAUGUCCGCGAUACUUUUUUUCUGCUUAUUUUGAUCACGUUCGGCGCUCGAUCGCGCUGUAUGAGACAGGAAAACAUAGCAUGCAGACAUUAGCGACAGGUCUUACAGGCGGAAAAGGCUUGCCAAAAGAAAAAAAAAAACACACCACAACAUCUCUCCUAUUGGUGGAAAACUUCACCACAACAACCAAUCCAAAAUUAUAUGGUGACUGAUUGACAAGGGGCGGGCGCUUACGUUCUUCCUGCAACAUGAGAAGCGAGGGAGGGACUCUCAGCAGGGAUGCAGUCUGGGACACGUAGUUGCAAACCUAGCGACUUUGUUGUUAGAUUCAAUGACUUUUCAGACCCCCUUACGACUUUUUUUUAGAAAGAAAGGGACUUUUAUCGACUUCUUCUGGAGUUUAGAGACUCUGACAUGAAGCAGGCUUUCCUUACUGAGGAGUUAGCAACGCUGCUAAGGGUGCAGAGCCACACAUGCGCUCAGAGCUCUGCAUGGGAGACUGAAGCUGACAGAGCUGCAGCAGUUAGCAGGUUUCACCCUCAGAGACCACCAGGGGUUCAUGUUGAGGCAUUUUAAUUUUUUUUUUUUUUGUGCCAUAGACACUGUCAGCACAAUCUGCAGUUACACUAACAAAAAUGCUGCAAAAAACAAAGAAUUAUGGAAAAAUUACACAUGGACUGACAUAGAGGAGGAUCUACACAAGUUUUUUACAUCAUGUUUUACAUCAUGCAUCAUUUACAUCAUGUUUUUUUGUAGUGGCAUAAAUAAAAAGUGACAUUUGUGAGACUAUACAGUGUUUUGUAAAUAAUUUUACAAAGAACGCCUGGGCCAUUGCCUGCAUUUUGAUGUAAAUAGAGGUAAAUUACUAUGUUCUUUGUUAAAAAUUUGCAUAUGUUUUGAAGUUUACAAUUUUUAUUUGAAGUUUAAGUUUUAAAAACAGUUCAUCACACAUAUUUGUGUUUUAAUUUCACAUUAAUUUCCAUAUUGUAUAAAUGACUGGAAAAAACUUGAGCCCCUGCCCCUGUAUAAUCAUAUGCACGUCCCUGUUCUAGCUCCAAGGUGAAUCUUCACUGCUCAUGUUCUCCUCAGAAAUAGUCACCUCACUCCCCUCAGGUUACUGUACACAUGCACCAACUAUCUGCUUCAGGUUUGGAUGGAGCUUCAUGGUUGUCUUUUGGAGAAAUGAACAGUCAAGUUGUGUUUGAAAUCUGAUUUUUUUCAGGGGCAAAAGGAAGCCUCUGCAUUCUUGUCAAAUAUGUAAACAGCAUGUUUUUGCAGGUGCUAAAAAACAAACUCUGAGUGUGUGUGUGUGUGUGUGUGUGUGUGUGUGUGUGUGUGUGUGUGUGUGUAUGUGUGUGUAUCCUGCAGUACUCUGUACUCCUGCAGUGGCCAAAAAGACUUUUAAGAAUGUGGAUUUUUGGGUCAUCUUUGGCGCCCCCUAGAACUGCAGUACUCUGUACUCCUGCAGUGGCCAAAAUGACUUUUAAGAAUGUGGAUUUUUGGGUCAUCUUUGGUGCCCCCUAGAACGUAAACCGUGGGGUGCAGCGUCAUGAUUUUUACAACUUUGAAUGGGCAUGGGGUGUAGAUUGCCCUGAGCAAAUUUGGUAUCGGUGGGACGAAAGCCUUAGGAGGAGAUAGCCACAUUCCAAUGUGUGCGAAUCGGCAAAAAAUGCGAAAUAGCCCUUUAACCGUACAUUAUACAGAUACGCGCUUUUUGACUUUUUCGUAGAUCUAAUUGAGAUACACGUGAUUGUCAAUUUUUGUGUCAAUAUGACAAAGCGUUCAGGCGUGACACUCAACAAUGUGUAUUUUCAUGUAAGGGGACAAGAAAAAAUGGACUAUUUUCUCCUGCCAUGGGGGGGCGCUCUUUUGGGGAGUAAAAAUUCCUUCACAAAUGUGUUGAUGGCUGGACAUUGCAUCAUCCUAGAAAACUUGGAGGGCAGUGAGGACAAAAAUAAAAAGUUAUAAGACUUUUAAGAAUGUGGAUUUUGGGUUAUCUUUGGCGCCCCCUAGAACGUAAACCGUGGGGUGCAGCGUCAUGAUUUGUACAACUUUUAAUGGCCAUGGGGGGUAGAUUGGCCUGCGCAAAUGUGGUGCCGGUCGAACGAAAGCCUUCGGAGGAGUUAGCGAAAUUCCAAUGUGUGCAGAUCUGCAAAAAAUGCAAAAUAACCCAUUAACCGUACAUUUGACAGAUACGCCCGCACUGACUUUUUUGUAGAUCUUAUUGAGAUACAUGUGUGUGUCAAUUUUUGUGUCAAUAUGACAAAGCGUACAGCCGUCAUGUGAAUUUUCACCUUAGGGGGCGCUAUGGAGCCAUUUUGCAUUUUAUUGUUUGGGCGACUUCAGAAUAUCGAAUUUUUCACCAGGCCCGGUCGUCCUGCCAAAUUUCCUGAGUUUUCGCCAGUGGGAAGUGGGCCAUUUUCCAGUUUAAAGCGGAGGAAAAAUAAUAACGAAAGAAGGAAACAUGCAGGAACAAGAGGGCUCUCGCAGCUGCUUAGCAGCUACACUCGGGCCCUAACUAGGGCCCCGGUGGGGCACUGUCGGGCCCGAGCCGCGUCGCGCCGCCCCCAGCGCGACCACCUCCCCCUCCCGAUCGCGUCACACUCAAGGUCCAAAGAUGGUGUGCGCACUUGUCUGUGGUCAUUUCCCAUUAUAAUGAAUGGGAGGCGCAGUUUCUACCAAAACACUCGCUGCAGACAAACUACAUGUCCUAUUUGAAAAAAGUCUGGACCAUGAGUGAGGGCACAAACACAGCUAGGAUAUAUCCAAAUGGCAAGUUGCUCCUCCUUACGGUGUAUCCGGGAGAGCGAUGCGAUUGAGCCAUUGAGCAAUGGGCAGGAAAAACUUGACUUUUCCUCCUGCCUUGGGGGGAGGGGGGGAUGUGGAUUCUUUUAAGAAUGUGGAUAUUUGGGUCAUCUUUGGCGCCCCCUAGAACGUAAACCGUGGGGUGCAGCGUCAUGAUUUUUACAACUUUGAAUGGCCAUGGGAUGUAGAUCGGCUUGAGCAAAUUUGGUGUCGGUGGGACGAAAGCCUUAGGAGGAGUUAGCAAAAUUCCAAUGUGUGCGAAUCGGGAAAAAAUGCGAAAUAGCCCUUUGACCGUACAUUUUACAGAUACGUGCACAUUGACUUUUUCGUAGAUCUUAUUGAGAUACAUGUGUGUGUCAAAUUUUGUGUCAUUUUGACAAAACAUACAGGCGUAGCACUCAACAAUGUGUAUUUUCACCUUAGUGGACAAGAAAAAAUUGACUUUUUUCUCCUGCCAUGGGGGGGCGCUCGUUUCGAGAGUAAAAAUUCCUUUACAAAUGUGUUGAUGGCUGGACAUUGCAUCAUCCUAGAAAACUUGGAGGCCAGUGAGGACAAAAAUAAAAAGUUAUAAGACUAUUAAGAAUGUGGAUUUUUGGGUUAUGUUUGGCGCCCCCCUAGAACCUAAACCGUGGGGUGCAGCGUCAUGAUUUGAAUAACUUUUAAUGGCCAUGGGGUGUAGAUUGGCCUGAGCAAAUGUGGUGCCGGUGGAACGAAAGCCUUCGGAGGAGUUAGCGAAAUUCCAAUGUGUGCGGAUCGGGAAAAAAUGCGAAAUAACCCUUUAACCGUACAUUUUGCAGAUACGUGCCCGGUGACUUUUUCGUAGAUCUUAUUGAGAUACACGUGAUUGUCAAAUUUUGGGUCAAUAUGACAAAGCGUAUAGGCGUGACACUCAACAAUGUGUAUUUUCACCUUAGGGGACAAGAAAAAAUGGACUUUUUUCUCCUGCCAUGGGGGGGCGCUCUUUUGGGGAGUAAAAAUUCCUUCACAAAUGUGUUGUUGGCUGGACAUUGCAUCAUCCUAGAAAACUUGGAGGCCAUUGAGGACAAAAAUACAAAGUUGUAAGACUUUUAAGACUGUGGAUUUUUGGGUUAUAUUUGGCGCCCCCUAGAACGUAAACCGUGGGGUGCAGCGUUAUGAUUUGUACAACUUUUAAUGGCCAUGGGGUGUAGAUUGGCCUGAGCAAAUGUGGUGCCGGUGGAACGAAUGCCUUCGGAGGAGUUAGCGAAAUUCCAAUGUGUGCAGAUCUGCAAAAAAUGCGAAAUAACCCUCUAACCGUACAUUUCACAGAUGCGCCCGCACUGACUUUUUCGUAGACCGUAUAGCGAUACACGUGUGUGUCAAUUUUUGUGUCAAUACAACAAAGCGUACAGGCGUGACAGUCAAUAGUGUGAAUUUUCACCUUAGGGGGCGCUAUGGAGCCAUUUUGCAUUUUAUUGUUUGGGCGACUUCAGAAUAUCGAAUUUUUCACCAGGCCCGGUCGUCCUGCCAAAUUUCAUGAGUUUUCGCCAGUGGGAAGUGGGCCAUUUUCCCCUUCAAAGGGGAGGAAAAAUAAGAAGAAAGAAAGAAAGAAAGAAGAAAGAAAAACCACUACAGGAAUAAUAGGGCUCUACGCCCGGCUGCUCUGCAGCUGGCUCGGGCCCUAAUAAUAAUAACAAACUAGGGCCCCGGUGGGGCACUGUCGGGCCCGAGCCGCAUCGUGCCGCCCCCAGCGUGACCGCCUCCCCCUCCCGAUCGCGUCACACUCAAGGUCCAAAGAUGGUGUGCGCACUUGUCUGCGGUCAUUUCCCAUUAUAAUGAAUGGGAGGCACAGUUUCUACCAAAACACUUGCUGCAGACAAACUUCAUGUCCUAUUUGAAAAAAGUCUGGACCAUGAGUGAGGGCACAAACACAGCUGGGAUAUAUCCAAAUGGCAGGUUGCUCCUCGUUACGGUGUUGCCUGGAGAGCGAUGCGAUUGAGCCAUUGAGCGAUGGGCAGGAAAAACUUGACUUUUUCUCCUGCCAUGGGGGGGGGGAGAAUGUGGAUUCUUUUAAGAAUGUGGAUUUUUUGGUCAUCUUUGGCGCCCCCUAGAACGUAAACCGUGGGGUGCAGCGUCAUGAUUUUUACAACUUUGAAUGGCCAUGGGGUGUAGAUUGGCCUGAGCAAAUUUGGUUUCAGUGGGACGAAAGCCUUAGGAGGAGUUAGCCACAUUCCAAUGUGUGCGAAUCGGCAAAAAAUGCAAAAUAGCCCUCUAACCGUACAUUUUACAGAUACGUGGCCAUUGACUUUUUCGAAGAUCUUAUUGAAAUACACGUGUAUGUAAAAUUUUGUGUCAAUACGACAAAACAUACAGGCGUAGCACUCAACAAUGUGUAUUUUCACCUUAGUGGACAAGAAAAAAUUGACUUUUUUCUCCUGCCAUGGGGGGGCGCUCUUUUGCCGAGUAAAAAUUCCUUCACAAAUGUGUUGAUGGCUGGACAUUGCAUCAUCCUAGAAAACUUGGAGGCCAGUGGGGACAAAAAUAAAAAGUUAUAAGACUUUUAAAUAUGUGGAUUUUACGGUUAUCUUUGGCGCCCCCUAGAACCUAAACCGUGGGGUGCAGCGUCAUGAUUUGAAUAACUUUUAAUGGCCAUGGGGUGUAGAUUGGCCUGAGCAAAUGUGGUGCCGGUGGAACGAAAGCCUUCGGAGGAGUUAGCGAAAUUCCAAUGUGUGCGGAUCGGCAAAAAAUGCGGAAUAACCCUUUAACCGUACAUUUGACAGAUACGCGCGCAUUGACUUUUUCGUAGAUCUUAUUGAGAUACAUGUGUGUGUCAAUUUUUGUGUCAUUUUGCCAAAGCGUACAGGUGUUACACCCAACAAUGUGUAUUUUCACCUUAGGGGACAAGAAAAAAUGGACUUUUUUCUCCUGCCAUGGGGGGGCGCUCUUUUGGGGAGUAAAAAUUCCUUCACAAAUGUGUUGAUGGCUGGACAUUGCAUCAUCCUAGAAAACUUGGAGGCCAGUGAGGGCAAAAAUAAAAAGUUAUAAGACUUUUAAAUAUGUGGAUCUUAGGGUUAUCUUUGGCGCCCCCUAGAACCUAAACCGUGGGGUGCAGCGUCAUGAUUUGAAUAACUUUUAAUGGCCAUGGGGUGUAGAUUGGCCUGAGCAAAUGUGGUGCCGGUGGAACGAAAGCCUUCGGAGGAGUUAGCGAAAUUCCAAUGUGUGCGGAUCGGCAAAAAAUGCGAAAUAACCCUUUAACCGUACAUUUGACAGAUACGCCCGCACUGACUUUUUUGUAGAUCUUAUUGAGAUACAUGUGUGUGUCAAUUUUUGUGUCAUUUUGACAAAGCGUACAGGCGUGACAAUGAAUAGUGUGAAUUUUCACCUUAGGGGGCGCUAUGGAGCCAUUUUGCAUUUUCUUGUUUGGGCGACUUCGGAAUAUCAAAUUUUUCACCAGGCCCGGUCGUCCUGCCAAAUUUCAUGAGUUUUCGCCAGUGGGAAGUGGGCCAUUUUCCAGUUCAAAGGGGAGUAAAUAUAAUAAUAAUAAUAACAAAAGAAGGAAACUACAGGAACAAGAGGGCUCUCGCAGCUGCUUAGCAGCUACGCUCGGGCCCUAAUAACUAGGGCCCCGUUGGGGCACUGGCGGGCCCGAGCCGCGUUGCGCCGCCCCCAGUGCGACCGCCUCCCUCUCCCGAUCGCGUCACACUCAAGGUCCAAAGAUGGUGUGCGCACUUGUCUGUGGUCAUUUCCCAUUAUAAUGAAUGGGAGGCGCAGUUUCUACCAAAACACUCGCUGCAGACAAACUACAUAUCCUAUUUGAAAAAAGUCUGGACCAUGAGUGAGGGCACAAACACAGCUAGGAUAUAUCCAAACGGCAAGUUGCUCCUCGUUACGGUGUUGCCGGGAGAGCGAUGCGAUUGAGCCAUUGAGUGAUGGGCAGGAAAAACUUGACUGUUUCUCCUGCCAUGGGGGAUGGGGGAUGGGGGAUGGGGGGGGGGGGGAUGUGGAUUCUUUUAAGAAUGUGGAUAUUUGGGUCAUCUUUGGCGCCCCCUAGAACGUAAACCGUGGGGUGCAGCGUCAUGAUUUUUAAAACUUUGAAUGGCCAUGGGGUGUAGAUUGGCCUGAGCAAAUUUGGUGUCAGUGGGACGAAAGCCUUAGGAGGAGUUAGCCACAUUCCAAUGUGUGCUAAUCGGCAAAAAAUGCAAAAUAGCCCUUUAACCGUACAUUAUACAGAUACGCGCUCUUUGACUUUUUCGUAGAUCUAAUUGAGAUACACAUGAUUGUCAAUUUUUGUGUCAUUUUGCCAAAGCGUACAGGCGUGACAGUCAACAAUGUGUAUUUUCACCUUAGGGGACAAGAAAAAAUGGACUUUUUUCUCCUGCCAUGGGGGGGCGCUCUUUUGGGGAGUAAAAAUUCCUUCACAAAUGUGUUGAUGGCUGGACAUUGCAUCAUCCUAGAAAACUUGGAGGCCAGUGAGGACAAAAAUAAAAAGUUAUAAGACUUUUAAAAAUGUGGAUUUUUGGGUUAUCUUUGGCGCCCCCUAGAACGUAAACCGUGGGGUGCAGCGUCAUGAUUUGAAUAACUUUUAAUGGCCAUGGGGUGUAAUUUGGCCUGAGCAAAUGUGGUGCCGGUGGAACGAAAGCCUUCGGAGGAGUUAGCGAAAUUCCAAUGUGUGCGAAUCGGCAAAAAAUGCGGAAUAACCCUUUAACCGUACAUUAGACAGAUACGCGCGCAUGGACUUUUUUGUAGAUCUUAUUGAGAUACAUGUGUGUGUCAAUUUUUGUGUCAUUUUGACAAAGCGUACAGGCGUGACACUCAACAAUGUGUAUUUUCACCUUAGGGGACAAGAAAAAAUGGACUUUUUUCUCCUGCCAUGGGGGGGCGCUCUUUUGGGGAGUAAAAAUUCCUUCACAAAUGUGUUGAUGGCUGGACAUUGCAUCAUCCUAGAAAACUUGGAGGCCAGUGAGGGCAAAAAUAAAAAGUUAUAAGACUUUUAAAAAUGUGGAUUUUAGGGUUAUCUUUGGCGCCCCCUAGAACCUAAACCGUGGGGUGCAGCGUCAUGAUUUGAAUAACUUUUAAUGGCCAUGGGGUGUAGAUUGGCCUGAGCAAAUGUGGUGCCGGUGGAACGAAAGCCUUCGGAGGAGUUAGCGAAAUUCCAAUGUGUGCGGAUCGGCAAAAAAUGCGAAAUAACCCUUUAACCGUACAUUUGACAGAUACGCCCGCACUGACUUUUUUGUAGAUCUUAUUGAGAUACAUGUGUGUGUCAAUUUUUGUGUCAUUUUGACAAAGCGUACAGGCGUGACAGUCAAUAGUGUGAAUUUUCACCUUAGGGGGCGCUAUGGAGCCAUUUUGCAUUUUUUUGUUUGGGCGACUUCGGAAUAUCAAAUUUUUCACCAGGCCCGGUCGUCCUGCCAAAUUUCCUGAGUUUUCGCCAGUGGGAAGUGGGCCAUUUUCCAGUUCAAAGGGGAGGAAAAAGAAGAAAGAAAGAAACAAAGACUAGGGCCCCGGUGGGGCACUGGCGGGCCCGAGCCGUGUCUCGCCGCCCCCAGCGCGACCGCCUCCCCCUCCCGAUCGCGUCACACUCAAGGUCCAAAGAUGGUGUGCGCACUUGUCUGUGGUCAUUUACCAUUAUAAUGAAUGGGAGGCGCAGUUUCUACCAAAAUGCUCGCUGCAGACAAACUCCAUGUCCUUUUUGAAAAAAGUCUGGACCAUGAGUGAGGGCACAAACACAGCUUCCAUAUAUCCAAAUGGCAAGUUGCUCCUCCUUUCGGUUUUGCCGAGAGAGCGAUGCGUUUGAGCCAUUGGGCGAAGGGCAGGAAAAACUUAACUUUUUCUCCUGCCAUGGGGGGGGCGCUCUUUUGGGGAGAAAAAAUUCUUUCACAAAUGUGUUGAUGGCUGGACAUUGCAUCAUCCUAGAAAACUUGGAGGCCAGUGAGGACAAAAAUAAAAAGUUAUAAGACUUUUAAAUAUGUGGAUCUUAGGGUUAUCUUUGGCGCCCCCUAGAACCUAAACCGUGGGGUGCAGCGUCAUGAUUUGAAUAACUUUUAAUGGCCAUGGGGUGUAGAUUGGCCUGAGCAAAUGUGGUGCCGGUGGAACGAAAGCCUUCGGAGGAAUUAGCCACAUUCCAAUGUGUGCGAAUCUGCAAAAAAUGCGAAAUAACCCUUUAACCGUACAUUUUACAGAUACGCCCGCACUGACUUUUUUGUAGAUCUUAUUGAAAUACACGUGUAUGUAAAAUUUUGUGUCACUACGACAAAACAUACAGGCGUAGCACUCAACAAUGUGUAUUUUCACCUUAGUGGACAAGAAAAAAUUGACUUUUUUCUCCUGCCAUGGGGGGGCGCUCUUUUGCCGAGUAAAAAUUCCUUCACAAAUGUGUUGAUGGCUGGACAUUGCAUCAUCCUAGAAAACUUGGAGGCCAGUGGGGACAAAAAUAAAAAGUUAUAAGACUUUUAAAUAUGUGGAUUUUACGGUUAUCUUUGGCGCCCCCUAGAACGUAAACCGUGGGGUGCAGCGUCAUGAUUUUUACAACUUUGAAUGGCCAUGGGGUGUAGAUUGGCCUGAGCAAAUUUGGUUUCAGUGGGACGAAAGCCUUAGGAGGAGUUAGCCACAUUCCAAUGUGUGCGAAUCGGCAAAAAAUGCAAAAUAGCCCUCUAACCGUACAUUUUACAGAUACGUGGCCAUUGACUUUUUCGAAGAUCUUAUUGAAAUACACGUGUAUGUAAAAUUUUGUGUCAAUACGACAAAACAUACAGGCGUAGCACUCAACAAUGUGUAUUUUCACCUUAGUGGACAAGAAAAAAUUGACUUUUUUCUCCUGCCAUGGGGGGCGCUCUUUUGCCGAGUAAAAAUUCCUUCACAAAUGUGUUGAUGGCUGGACAUUGCAUCAUCCUAGAAAACUUGGAGGCCAGUGGGGACAAAAAUAAAAAGUUAUAAGACUUUUAAAUAUGUGGAUUUUACGGUUAUCUUUGGCGCCCCCUAGAACCUAAACCGUGGGGUGCAGCGUCAUGAUUUGAAUAACUUUUAAUGGCCAUGGGGUGUAGAUUGGCCUGAGCAAAUGUGGUGCCGGUGGAACGAAAGCCUUCGGAGGAGUUAGCGAAAUUCCAAUGUGUGCGGAUCGGCAAAAAAUGCGGAAUAACCCUUUAACCGUACAUUUGACAGAUACGCGCGCAUUGACUUUUUCGUAGAUCUUAUUGAGAUACAUGUGUGUGUCAAUUUUUGUGUCAUUUUGCCAAAGCGUACAGGUGUUACACCCAACAAUGUGUAUUUUCACCUUAGGGGACAAGAAAAAAUGGACUUUUUUCUCCUGCCAUGGGGGGCGCUCUUUUGGGGAGUAAAAAUUCCUUCACAAAUGUGUUGAUGGCUGGACAUUGCAUCAUCCUAGAAAACUUGGAGGCCAGUGAGGGCAAAAAUAAAAAGUUAUAAGACUUUUAAAUAUGUGGAUCUUAGGGUUAUCUUUGGCGCCCCCUAGAACCUAAACCGUGGGGUGCAGCGUCAUGAUUUGAAUAACUUUUAAUGGCCAUGGGGUGUAGAUUGGCCUGAGCAAAUGUGGUGCCGGUGGAACGAAAGCCUUCGGAGGAGUUAGCGAAAUUCCAAUGUGUGCGGAUCGGCAAAAAAUGCGAAAUAACCCUUUAACCGUACAUUUGACAGAUACGCCCGCACUGACUUUUUUGUAGAUCUUAUUGAGAUACAUGUGUGUGUCAAUUUUUGUGUCAUUUUGACAAAGCGUACAGGCGUGACAAUGAAUAGUGUGAAUUUUCACCUUAGGGGGCGCUAUGGAGCCAUUUUGCAUUUUCUUGUUUGGGCGACUUCGGAAUAUCAAAUUUUUCACCAGGCCCGGUCGUCCUGCCAAAUUUCAUGAGUUUUCGCCAGUGGGAAGUGGGCCAUUUUCCAGUUCAAAGGGGAGGAAAAAUAAUAACUAGGACCCCGUUGGGGCACUGGCGGGCCCGAGCUGUGUCGCGUCCCCCCCCCAACGCGCUGCCUCCCCGUCCCAUUUGUGUCCUCUGGCCAUCGCCCUCCCUGGUAACGCCCAUCACUGCAAAGACCCUUUUCCUUCAUCGGCGUUUGCUGUUCUUCCUGCCAGUGCGUGUUGCUUUCACUUACACUUGCCACAGCCAGCCUCGUGAGUGCCUAGCCUAUUGGAUAUCACUGUCACCUACACAGGACAGUCAUUACCUUUCUAUUAAUACUUUGUUUUUUAAUUUCACAUUAAUUUCCAUAUUGUAUAAACAACUGGAAAAAACUUGAGCCCCUGCCCCUGUAUAAUCAUGUGCACGUCUCUGUUCUAGCUCUAAGGUGAAUCUUCACUGCUCAUGUUCUCCUCAGAAGCAGUCACCUCACUCCCCUCAGGUUACUGUACACAUGCACCAACUGCCUGCUUCAGGUUUGGAUGGAGCUUCAUGGUUGUCUUUUGGAGUAAUGACCAGUCAAGUUGUGUUUGAAAUUUGAUUUUUUUCAGGGGCAAAAGGAGCCUCUGCAUUCUUGUCAAAUAUGUAAAUAGCAUGUUUUUGCAGGUGCUAAAAACCAGACUCUGAGUGUG